rnacentral:rRNA from 1 species
GGUAACAGAGGAGCUUGCUCCUGCUGACGAGCGGCGAACUGGUGAGUAACGCGUAGUUAUCUGCCUUAUAGACUGGGAUAGCCGUUGGAAACAGCGAUUAAUACCGGAUACAGCCUACGGGUGAAAGGCGCGUUUUGCGUCACUGUGAGAUGAGAUUGCGUCCUAUUAGCUAGAUGGCGGGGUAAGAGCCCACCAUGGCGACGAUAGGUAGCCGGCCUGAGAGGGUGAAC